GUAGGGAAUAUUGGGCAAUGGAGGCAACUCUGACCCAGCCAUGCCGCGUGCAGGAUGACGGCCCUCUGGGUUGUAAACUGCUUUUAUACGGGAAGAAAAAAUACUACGUGUAGUAUACUGACGGUACUGUAAGAAUAAGGAUCGGCUAACUCCGUGCCAGCAGCCGCGGUAAUACGGAGGAUCCAAGCGUUGUCCGGAUUUAUUGGGUUUACAGGGUGCGUAGGCGGAUCUUUAAGUCAGUGGUGAAAGCCUGCAGCUUAACUGUAGAAUUGCCAUUGAAACUGAAGAUCUUGAAUGUGGUUAAAGUAGGCGGAAUGUAUCAUGUAGCGGUGAAAUGCUUAGAUAUGAUACAGAACACCGAUAGCGAAGGCAGCUUGCUGAACCAUUAUUGACGCUGAGGCACGAAAGCGUGGGGAGCGAACAGGAUUAGAAACCCGUGUAGUCC
rnacentral:rRNA from 1 species